rnacentral:rRNA from 1 species
AUUGAACGCUGGCGGCAGGCCUAACACAUGCAAGUCGAACGGUAACAGAAAGCAGCUUGCUGCUUUGCUGACGAGUGGCGGACGGGUGAGUAAUGUCCGGGAAACUGCCUGAUGGAGGGGGAUAACUACUGGAAACGGUAGCUAAUACCGCAUAACGUCGCAAGACCAAAGAGGGGGACCUUCGGGCCUCUUGCCAUCGGAUGUGCCCAGAUGGGAUUAGCUUGUUGGUGGGGUAACGGCUCACCAAGGCGACGAUCCCUAGCUGGUCUGAGAGGAUGACCAGCCACACUGGAACUGAGACACGGUCCAGACUCCUACGGGAGGCAGCAGUGGGGAAUAUUGCACAAUGGGCGCAAGCCUGAUGCAGCCAUGCCGCGUGUAUGAAGAAGGCCUUCGGGUUGUAAAGUACUUUCAGCGGGGAGGAAGGGAGUAAAGUUAAUACCUUUGCUCAUUGACGUUACCCGCAGAAGAAGCACCGGCUAACUCCGUG